GAAGUGCAACGCUCAGUGGUGGGGCCCCCGGACUUCAAAUCCGGUGUGCCGUCUGAGGAAGGCGGCGGGUGGGUUCGAGUCUUAUGCCCUUACG
rnacentral:tRNA from 1 species